rnacentral:rRNA from 1 species
GAUGAACGCUGGCGGCAUGCCUUACACAUGCAAGUCGAACGGCAGCACGGGAGCAAUCCUGGUGGCGAGUGGCGAACGGGUGAGUAAUAUAUCGGAACGUGCCCGGUCGUGGGGGAUAACGUAGCGAAAGCUACGCUAAUACCGCAUACGAUCUACGGAUGAAAGCGGGGGAUCGCAAGACCUCGCGCGAUUGGAGCGGCCGAUAUCAGAUUAGGUAGUCGGUGAGGUAAAGGCUCACCAAGCCGACGAUCUGUAGCUGGUCUGAGAGGACGACCAGCCACACUGGAACUGAGACACGGUCCAGACUCCUACGGGAGGCAGCAGUGAGGAAUUUUGGACAAUGGGCGCAAGCCUGAUCCAGCAAUGCCGCGUGCAGGAUGAAGGCCUCGGUUGGUAACUAGCUUUGUUACGG